rnacentral:rRNA from 1 species
UUAACACAUGCAAGUCGAACGGUGAAAGAGAGCUUGCUCUCUGGAUCAGUGGCGAACGGGUGAGUAACACGUGAGCAAUCUGCCCUUGACUCUGGGAUAAGCGCUGGAAACGGCGUCUAAUACCGGAUACGAGCUGCGAAGGCAUCUUCAGCAGCUGGAAAGAACUUCGGUCAAGGAUGAGCUCGCGGCCUAUCAGCUAGUUGGUGAGGUAACGGCUCACCAAGGCGUCGACGGGUAGCCGGCCUGAGAGGGUGACCGGCCACACUGGGACUGAGACACGGCCCAGACUCCUACGGGAGGCAGCAGUGGGGAAUAUUGCACAAUGGGCGCAAGCCUGAUGCAGCAACGCCGCGUGAGGGACGACGGCCUUCGGGUUGUAAACCUCUUUUAGCAGGGAAGAAGCGAAAGUGACGGUACCUGCAGAAAAAGCACCGGCUAACUACGUGCCAGCAGCCGCGGUAAUACGUAGGGUGCAAGCGUUAUCCGGAAUUAUUGGGCGUAAAGAGCUCGUAGGCGGUUUGUCACGUCUGCUGUGAAAACGCGAGGCUCAACCUCGCGCCUGCAGUGGGUACGGGCAGACUAGAGUGCGGUAGGGGAGAUUGGAAUUCCUGGUGUAGCGGUGGAAUGCGCAGAUAUCAGGAGGAACACCGAUGGCGAAGGCAGAUCUCUGGGCCGUAACUGACGCUGAGGAGCGAAAGGGUGGGGAGCAAACAGGCUUAGAUACCCUGGUAGUCCACCCCGUAAACGUUGGGAACUAGUUG